AUGGAGUCAUGUAGCGUUGCCAGGAUAACGAGCCUAGGGAAGCUUGCUAUGCACCGGACAUAUUUGUGCACCCUGAUCUUCAGAACUUUGCCAAAGAUGCUAGGCUUCACUUCCAGUUCACUGGAGAGAUUCUGCAAAGCUGAACAUGUUGAGCUACAACUGACCAAGAAGACUACACUGGGCACAUUGCCGGAGCUGCCUCCGGAUGUUUUGAUGGGCAUCUUUGCCACCCUUGAGAUCCCUGACCUCGUGCGUGCCGGCUCUGUCUGCCCAUCCUGGCGCUCCGCAUACACAAGCCUACGGAGCCUUGGGCAGUACAAACUCCAGCAGACGCCAUGUCUCCUCUACACUUCCAAAUCCACUGGUGAGAGUGUCGCAUGCCUCUACAGCCUCGCAGAGAAGCGAUCGUACAAGUUAACCCUCCCGGAGCCGCCUAUCCGUACUAGGUGUUUGAUCGGGUCCUCACAUGGAUGGCUGAUAACUGCUGAUGAGAGAUCUGAGAUGCACCUCGUCAAUCCGGUCACAUGUGAACAGAUUGCUCUCCCUUCAGUGAUCACCAUUGAGCAGGUGAGGCCCAUCUUUGAUGAGCAUGGUGCUGUCCACAAGUAUGAACUCUCAUGGCACACUGGAAUGCACGAUGGUUAUAACUCGCCGACAAUCUUUGCUCUUGACAACCUGCGGCACGAACUCCACUAUAAGGCGUAUGUGUUCUCCGAUGCAUCCACGGAAAGCUUCAUUGUGGUGCUCAUCCACAAUCCAAUGCGUCAGCUCUCUUAUGCAAGGGUAGGGGAUGACAAGUGGACCUGGCUGCCACCUUAUGAUAUCUAUGAUGACUGCACUUACAAGAAUGGCCUAUUGUAUGCAGCGACUGCAACUGGAGAAAUUCAUGCUUUUGAUCUUAGUGGGCCUGUCGCCAGUAUGAAGAUAAUUAUGGGGGCAUCUGAGAAUAUUUCAGCUGGCAGUGCGUACAUUGUUCAAGCUCCCUGGGGUGAUCUGCUGCUUAUUUGGAGAAUCUUCGGCGAUUAUGAUUUAGAACCUGAACCUGGGGCAUCUGUGUUUUGGCAAACAGGCAGAAUUAAUAUGUAUGAAGUUGACUUGGUGGCAAGUAAACUUAAGGCAAUCAAUUCGUUGCGUUCCCAUGUGUUAUUUCUUGGGCAUAAUCAAUCUCUUUGUCUCAAUGCUGAAGAAUAUCCAGCUCUCAAGGCAAAUCAUGUCUACUUUACUGAUGAUAGUUUUUUCUGGACAACGGGAUUGAAGAAUAAUCACCGUGACAUGGGAGUUCUUGAUUUGGAUGAUAAUAGCAGGGAGGAAAUUAUAUCUCCUCAUCUUUGCUCCAACUUUCCGGCUCCUAUGUGGAUUACGGCUGAUCUUAGAAAGAUGAACUUGGCAUCAGUAGGGGCAGCUUGA
rnacentral:rRNA from 1 species